ACCUGGUAGCUCAAUCGGAUAGAGCGCCCCUUUCUCAAAGGGCAGGUUGCGGGUUCGAGCCCCGCCCGGGUCU
rnacentral:tRNA from 1 species